UAACGUGACGGUAGUACGUUAAAUGCAGUUUCCAAUGGACCACGAAAGUUAAGCAACGUUUUGCGUGGUUAAUAUCCGGAUGGGUGACCAUCUGGGAAAUCGGGUGUUACUGGAA
rnacentral:rRNA from 1 species